GAUGAACGCUGGCGGCGUGCCUAAUACAUGCAAGUCGAGCGAACAGAUAAGGAGCUUGCUCCUUUGACGUUAGCGGCGGACGGGUGAGUAACACGUGGGUAACCUACCUAUAAGACUGGAAUAACUCCGGGAAACCGGGGCUAAUGCAGGAUAACAUGUUGAACCGCAUGGUUCUACAGUGAAAGGCGGCUUUGCUGUCACUUAUAGAUGGACCCGCGCCGUAUUAGCUAGUUGGUGAGGUAACGGCUCACCAAGGCAACGAUACGUAGCCGACCUGAGAGGGUGAUCGGCCACACUGGAACUGAGACACGGUCCAGACUCCUACGGGAGGCAGCAGUAGGGAACCUUCCGCAAUGGGCGAAAGCCUGACGGAGCAACGCCGCGUGAGUGAUGAAGGUCUUCGGAUCGUAAAACUCUGUUAUUAGGGAAGAACAAAUGCGUAAGUAACUGUGCGCGUCUUGACGGUACCUAAUCAGAAAGCCACGGCUAACUACGUG
rnacentral:rRNA from 1 species